AUCAAGUCUUUGCGUACUUCUCGGCUAGCAAGUGAUCAACCAAUGAUGUGCAACCAUACAAUAUAUAACCCAACAAUAAAGAUAAAGUAAAAAUUAAUUACAUUUGAUAACUUUUAUCUCUAACCUAUUGAGACACGCAGGUCUCCAUAUAAAUCUGUUUGUGCACGUAGGCACCCAAAAUAACCAUCCCUAAUACAGAGUCCUUAAUUUAAACAAAUUUAAAAUUACAGGAUUCUGCAUACACAUUAUACAUCACAUAUCAAAAAAAAAUAAAUAGGUCUAUAUCCAUGAUCAUCACCGAUAUGUAUCUCAUAUAUCAUAUCCAUAAUAAUUAAUUUUGGGUAUUCUAAUUAACCGUUAACCAAUGAUUUGAAAAAUAAUAGUGAUUAACUCACUAAAAUCAAUCAAUCUUAUUGAUCGUUUAUAAUCUUGAUCAAAAACUUAAUCUUCAAACAUAAUAACUUGAUCUCAUCAAGAUAUAAAUUUGAUCUAAUCAAAUUAGAUCCCAUUUUUUAUUUUUAUUUUAAAUCGAUCGAAUCAAAUUAAAAAAUAAAAAAAAAUUUGCACAUCUGUACAGCUGCUAUAAUAGCGCUCAUACAGACUAGUAGCGUCCGUACGGAUGCUAUAUAUAUAUAUAUAUAUAUAUAUAUAUAUAUAUGAGUCCGGCUACUAUACUUUUAUGAGUAUAGAGCCUCUUGUACUCAUAAGUUUUUGCCCGUUAGAUCUACCCUUUAAUCAUUUUCACCCGUUAGAUUAUACUAUUCAACCAACCACCCACUCAACCCUAGGGGGCCCACUAUCAACCUAACCGUAACCACUUUCAUCAUAACCGCAUAUUUUUUCAUCUAAACGGCUAAAAACUUAUGAGUACAAAGGGCUGUAUACUCAUAUAAGUAUAGUAGCCCCAGCCUAUAUAUAUAUAUAUAUAUAUAUAUUGCUGUAGCAUCCGUACGGACGCUACUAGUCUGUAUGAGCGCUAUUAUAGCAGCUGUACAGAUGUGCAAAUUUUUUUUUAUUUUUUAAUUUGAUUCGAUCGAUUUAAAAUAAAAAUAAAAAAUGGGAUCUAAUUUGAUUAGAUCAAAUUUAUAUCUUGAUGAGAUCAAGUUAUUAUGUUUGAAGAUUAAGUUUUUGAUCAAGAUUAUAAACGAUCAAUAAGAUUGAUUGAUUUUAGUGAGUUAAUCACUAUUAUUUUUCAAAUCAUUGGUUAACGGUUAAUUAGAAUACCCAAAAUUAAUUAUUAUGGAUAUGAUAUAUGAGAUACAUAUCGGUGAUGAUCAUGGAUAUAGACCUAUUUAUUUUUUUUUGAUAUGUGAUGUAUAAUGUGUAUGCAGAAUCCUGUAAUUUUAAAUUUGUUUAAAUUAAGGACUCUGUAUUAGGGAUGGUUAUUUUGGGUGCCUACGUGCACAAACAGAUUUAUAUGGAGACCUGCGUGUCUCAAUAGGUUAGAGAUAAAAGUUAUCAAAUGUAAUUAAUUUUUACUUUAUCUUUAUUGUUGGGUUAUAUAUUGUAUGGUUGCACAUC
rnacentral:lncRNA from 1 species